AUGGUUGUUGGUGCGCUGCCGGACUUCAAAUCCAGGUCGAUGUGGCAG
rnacentral:tRNA from 1 species